GCAAAAUCAUUUGUUUAUCUGAAUUAAUGUCUUAGUGCAAGAUUACCUGUUAGCUAACAAAAAUAUUGCAUCCUUAAUUUCAUAUGUCUAGUGUUUCCUAGUAAGGCAUAAUUCAUAGAGCAUAAUUCAACCCUUUUCAAAUAAUGAUAAUUAUUCUUAGGACACAAGUUCCUUAUUUAGCAGGCAAAUGCUAGAAACACAAGCAACAUCCCCCCUAGUUAGUGAUGUCCUAAUUAUUCCUCCCUGUUUAAAGAACAUUUCACAGUCACCACACCUUCUUCUGGUGCUGUAUUUAAAUAAGUAAGGAUUGCCUGGCACAUAACCUUGAAAGGAAAGCUGAGUUGAGCUUCUGGAUGUGAUUAACUCAGCAUUUCUUAAAGGUGGACAUUCUUUUCCUUCUAUAUUCAAUCGCCUAAGAGUCAAACUUGAAGCAAUUUCAUACACUGAUGGAAAAGUCUCCUGUUCACCUUCUUGGCCUUGCUCUGGGAGGCAUCCCUUUAGGAAUUCACCAGCUAACCUCAAAAUUGAAGUUGGAUUUUACCCAAGAGGACAGGAUGACAAUGAAGUUGAACCCCCCGCCCUGUGGGCUGUAAUGGGUCAACAGCGUCCCUUUACCUACGCCCACUGUUGGUAUUGGGAAGACUUCUCCCAGUCCCAGGAAGAUCUGAUGAUUGUGGAAUCCAAUCCCUGUCCUUCCCCUUAGUCCUAGGGCUGUGGUUUUUCACGGUGCUGACCCCAGCAUGCCUAACACUGCUGGUUAGUUUUCCUUAACCCUGCCCGCAUCUUUGUAAAUAGUUUCUUUAUUAAACACUUCCUAAUUACUCUAUUAGUGUGAGCCAUCUGUUUCCUGCUGAGCCCCCAACUGAGACAUUUUCCAAUCAAAGAUGCAUUGCAGUGAAUACCAAAAGUGCCAGCAUGGAGCAUGAGAAGUGCCUUUUGGGGGCAUCAACCAAAUAGUGUAAGUUUAGUAGAAAGAUUAGCAAUGUGUCAAAAAUGAAGAAAGAAAUGAGGCUUUUGACCCAGUUGUUC
rnacentral:lncRNA from 1 species